CCUACGGGAGGCUGCAGUGAGGAAUAUUGGUCAAUGGACGAGAGUCUGAACCAGCCAAGUAGCGUGAAGGAUGACUGCCCUAUGGGUUGUAAACUUCUUUUAUAUGGGAAUAAAGUGUUCCACGUGUGGCUUUUUGUAUGUACCUUAUGAAUAAGGAUCGGCUAACUCCGUGCCAGCAGCCGCGGUAAUACGGAGGAUCCGCGCGUUAUCCGGAUUUAUUGGGUUUAAAGGGAGCGUAGGUGGGUUGUUAAGUCAGUUGUGAAAGUUUGCGGCUCAACCGUAAAAUUGCAGUUGAUACUGGCAGUCUUGAGUACAGUAGAGGUGGGCGGAAUUCGUGGUGUAGCGGUGAAAUGCUUAGAUAUCACGAAGAACUCCGAUUGCGAAGGCAGCUCACUGAACUGCAACUGACACUGAUGCUCGAAAGUGUGGGUAUCAAACAGGAUUAGAUACCCUAGUAGUC
rnacentral:rRNA from 1 species